AGAAGGCCUUCGGGUUGUAAAGCUCUGUCCAGGGGGAAGAAACAAAUGACGGUACCCCUGGAGGAAGCCCCGGCUAACUACGUGCCAGCAGCCGCGGUAAAACGUAGGGGGCAAGCGUUGUCCGGAAUUACUGGGCGUAAAGGGCGUGUAGGCGGCAAUGUAAGUCAGGAGUGAAACCCGCCGGCUUAACCGGCGGCCUGCUUCUGAAACUGCAUGGCUUGAGUGCAGGAGAGGGAAGUGGAAUUCCCAGUGUAGCGGUGAAAUGCGUAGAUAUUGGGAGGAACACCAGUGGCGAAAGCGGCUUCCUGGCCUGUAACUGACGCUGAGGCGCGAAAGCGUGGGGAGCAAACAGGAUUAGAUACCCUGGUAGUCCACGCCGUAAACGAUGGGUGCUAGGUGUUGGGGGUAUCGACCCCUCCAGUGCCGCAGUUAACGCGAUAAGCACCCCGC
rnacentral:rRNA from 1 species